GAAGCGUGUGAAUUCUCUAGGAAGCACUUAAAAUCUUUAUUGCCCCAUAUAAGCACUUCUCUAGCUAACCAAGUUGAGCACUCCCUGGAGAUACCUUUGCACAGAGGGAUGCCAAGAUUGGAGGCAAGGCAGUACAUUUCCAUCUAUGAAGCAGACAAUUCAACACGAAAUGAGCUAAUAUUAGAACUUGCAAAGCUAGAUUUUAAUCUUUUGCAGGAGUUACACCGGAGAGAGCUAAGUGAGAUCUCAAGGUGAUCAAAUAUCAAAACCUCCCCUUGUUUGUUGAAAUUUAUCAUUUGUCCUGUACUGUUUUAAAACCUAUCAACAAUCUCUCUAUUGUUAAAGGGUCUUUUACAGUUCGAUUUUAAUUGUAUCUUUUUCUAUUUUACCGAUAAAAUCAAAAUUAUGAUUUAAAAUACUUUUGUUUGUUAAAUUGUUAGUAGCUAACUCCACAGAGAUCGGCAAUUUUAUUAUUUUUUUCCCCUCCAUGAAACCUUGAUGGAUAUGAGCGUUUAGAACAUGAGGCAGUAGACUAUUAAUUUACUAGAACAACAAUGGGGUUUUGAUCAUAUUUCUGCAUCAAAACUAGUAAUUUAUUUUAUAAAUUUGAAAUCAAUCCAUUAUAAGACUGAGAAGAUCGAUUUUACAUUGGAAAAUAAAUUUUUGCAGGUGGUGGAAAGAUAUUGAUUUUGCAACAAAGCUACCUUUUGCAAGGGAUAGGUUGGUGGAGUGCUACUUUUGGAUAUUAGGAGUUUAUUUUGAGCCUAAAUAUUCCACAACUAGAAAAUUUAUGACCAAAAUCAUCGCAAUAGCUUCUGUCAUAGAUGAUAUCUAUGAUGUGUAUGGCACUUUGGAAGAACUUAAGCUAUUCACUCAUGCAAUCGAGAGGUGUGUGCAAAUUAAUAAGUAUUAAUAAUGUGGCAGUCGAUUUUUCGUAUAAUCAAAGUACAGUAUCCACAUUGUUUUUGGUAGGUGGGAAGUUGUGGCAGCAAAUGAGUUACCAAAAUACAUGCAAGUCUGUUAUUUUGCCCUCUUAGAUGUUGUCAAAGAAAUGGAGGACAAGCUGGUGAAUAAAGAACCACUUUGUUGCAUGUACUAUGCAAAAGAGGCGGUAAGUACACUCAUAAUCAUGAAUAUACUCAUUAUCAAUUUUUUUUAAUUGAUAUACACAAAUAAAUACAUAUAUGGCUAUCCAAAUUGAAUAAUUAAUUUACUUUAUUCUCUCUCAGAUAAAAGGGCUGGUAAGGGCUUACUUUGUGGAAGCAAAGUGGUUCCAUGCGAAAUAUGUGCCAACAUUUGAAGAAUGUGUGGAGAAUUCUACAAUGAGCAGUGGAUACCCCAUGCUUGCUGUUGAAGCUCUUGUAGGCUUAGAAGAUAUGGCAAUUACCAAGCGAGCACUUGAUUGGGCGAUUAGUGUUCCUAAAAUUAUUAGAUCUUCCUCCUUGAUUGCUCGCCUUGAUGACGACGUCCAUACGUACAAGGUAUGACUAUAUCGAUAAAGAAUUUAUGACCAAAUACCAAAUUAAAGGAAUUUUAACUACUUAAUUUAGGGAGAAUGAUACUGGAGAUACCUUUGCACAGAGGGAUGCCAAGAUUGGAGGCAAGGCAGUAUAUUUCCAUCUAUGAAGCAGACAAUUCAACACGAAAUGAGCUAAUAUUAGAACUUGCAAAGCUAGAUUUUAAUCUUUUGCAGGCGUUACACCGGAUAGAGCUAAGUGAGAUCUCAAGGUGAUCAAAUAUCAAAACCUCCCCUUGUUUGUUGAAAUUUAUCAUUUGUC
rnacentral:lncRNA from 1 species